GGCUCAGUGGUCCAGUGGUAAAGCGCUCGUCGCGAAGCCGACGGGCCCUGGGCUCGAUCCUCAGCGGGGUCG
rnacentral:tRNA from 1 species